GGCUGCUCCAAGUGCAGUAGUGUUUACAACUAAUUGAUACAACAAGUUACAAAUUUCUUUGUUGCUUCUUCAUUCCCAUUGCUUCACUUGGCUAGCCUUAA
rnacentral:Y_RNA from 1 species